rnacentral:rRNA from 1 species
GUCGAACGCUGGCGGCGUGCUUAACACAUGCAAGUCGAACGGAAAGGCCCUGCUUUUGUGUGGUGCUCGAGUGGCGAACGGGUGAGUAACACGUGAGUAACCUGCCCUUGACUUUGGGAUAACUUCAGGAAACUGGGGCUAAUACCUGCUAGGAGCUCCUGCUGCAUGGUGGGGGUUGGAAAGUUUCGGUGGUUGGGGAUGGACUCGCGGCUUAUCAGCUUGUUGGUGGGGUAGUGGCUUACCAAGGCUUUGAUGGGUAGCCGGCCUGAGAGGGUGACCGGCCACAUUGGGACUGAGAUACGGCCCAGACUCCUACGGGAGGCAGCAGUGGGGAAUAUUGCACAAUGGGCGGAAGCCUGAUGCAGCAACGCCGCGUGCGGGAUGACGGCCUUCGGGUUGUAAACCGCUUUCGCCUGUGACGAAGCGUGAGUGACGGUAAUGGGUAAAGAAGCACCGGCUAACUACGUG